CUGUGAUUGAAGCUCAGUGCACUGCUGGUGAUGACCACACAUUUGACAACCAUCCCAAAAUUGCAAGAGAGUUCUCGUGCCAUCAAGUCCAUUUGUUGGUGUUAUUGCAGAUGUGAUACAGAUCCGGUCGUAUGUAAAAAUUGAAGUACGUAAUGUCAGGUGUGCCACAAGUGUUUUGUCCCAGAGAAGGC